GCGAUACCGCGAAUGGCUCAAUAUAUCAGUUGUGGUUCCUUAGAUCUUACUCAGUUACUUGGAUAACUGUGGCAAUUCUAGAGCUAAUACAUGCAAUCAGAGCUCUGACCGGAGACGGGAGGAGCGCUUUUAUUAGAUCAAAACCAAUCGACGGAGGCGGCUCCGCCGACGUCGUGUAUUCAUGAUGAAUCUGGAUAACUUAUGCCGAUCGCACGGUCACGCACCGGCGACGCAUCUUUCAAAUGUCUGCCUUAUCAACUUUCGAUGGUAGUCUAUGCGACUACCAUGGUUGUAACGGGUAACGGGGAAUCAGGGUUCGAUUCCGGAGAGGGAGCCUGAGAAACGGCUACCACAUCCAAGGAAGGCAGCAGGCGCGCAAAUUACCCACUCCCGGCACGGGGAGGUAGUGACGAAUAAUAACGAUGCGAGACUCAUAUGAGGCCUCGUAAUCGGAAUGAAUUGACUUUAAACACUUUAACGAGUAACAAUUGGAGGGCAAGUCUGGUGCCAGCAGCCGCGGUAAUUCCAGCUCCAAUAGCGUAUACUAAAAUUGUUGCGGUUAAAAAGCUCGUAGUUGCACUUGUGCGCCGCGCUGUCGGUGCCAAUCCGCGGUGCCACUGGCACGUCGCGGCGCAUCGCGUCGGUGAGACUCCGGUAAAACGGAGGCUCAAUUGAAACAAUCCUACUGCGGUGCUCUUAACCGAGUCGAAUAUUUUUUGCAUGGAAUAAUGGAAUACGACCUCGGUUCUAUUUUGUUGGUUCUCGGAAUCCGAGGUAAUGAUUAAUAGGAACAACUGGGGGCAUUCGUAUUGCGACGUUAGAGGUGAAAUUCUUGGAUCGUCGCAAGACGGACAACAGCGAAAGCAUUUGCCAAAGGUGUUUUCAUCAAUCAAGAACGAAAGUUAGAGGCUCGAAGGCGAUUAGAUACCGCCCUAGUUCUAACCAUAAACGUUGCCAACUGGCGAUCCGCCGACGCUACUAUAAUGGCUCGGCGGGCGGCU
rnacentral:rRNA from 1 species